ensembl:lncRNA
UUCUUUUUGUUUUAUCCCGUCGAAGUAAAUUAUAGAAGUUACAUUAAGUAAGAAAGUUUGGAUUAAAUGUAGUUCGCUAUGGAAAAUCAUAAAAGGUUUCAUUUAGUGUUGCUUUUGCGGUAUUUUAAGCUAUAGGAGGAUCUUUAUUUCCAAAGUAAAAUAAGAACCUUCCAUUGUUCGAACUGGAUCGCCUAACGUUUUCCAGAUUACCCCCAUCUGUGUUGAGAAGUUAUCGGUGAGUAGUACUCAGACAUUGUUGUUUUGGUUUCUGGUGUGCGGAUUCACUGCUGUAAUGCGAUUGGGUGUUUCCAUCACGUUUGCUGUGGCUCUCAAUAAAAUGUAUUUCUGAGAGACCCAGACAUAAUCUAGCCAUUUGUGUUCUAUAGUGGCCUGCCUGCCUGUUCGUGUCUUCAUGGGAUUAGCUGGCUGUGAGGUGGUCGUUAAAGAAUAUUAACCUGUUGAUUAAUCGGGUAUUGCUUGAGGUAUUAUUCACUUCUCUUUCUACUCCUCUUUCACGACUACUAUGUGCCUACUACAGAUUACAGCUAUUGACACCCAUUUGGCUCUUAAUUCUGGGAAAAUGCUGAAUUCGUAUUUGCAGACAUUGAUUAUGAAUUGCACGCAUUUCCAUGUACUUGACAGACUUCCAACGCCUCAGGCUUUUUUUUUUGUUUACGAUGAUUCAUAAUCCAAUGAGCAGCAGAAUAACAGGCUAGGCAGACAGUGUUUGUAACCAGUGUUUUUCCAUUCUGAAUAUGAAGUGCAUUUUCAACUACUAUAAACUGCAGAAGUGGGUUGUGUUCAACGCAUGAUCAUUACUCAUGUGAGUGUAUGUAGAAAUGCACUCUCAGAAUUGGAAUGAUGCAACAUGUUGCCAACAACACAUACUUGUCAUUCGCAACUUGUAGUGCUGCACAAUCUCAUGCAUUGUAAUGCUUCUAAAUAUAUCUCUCUGUUCGGUUCAAGAAUGGAGCAUAUAGGCCUAUUUAUAUAAUAUAUAUAGAUACACUUUACUAUACUUUAUAUAUGCAGUCUGCCCAGCUUAUCUUGUGUGGUCCCUGUGCAGACUCAGUUUCCCCAUGCUUAGCAUUUACAGUUUAUGAUCUUUGAUUUUGUUAAGAAUGAGAACCAGAUGUUCGGCCCUAGAUUUGCAAUUUUCUUAAAGAGGCAUAGUCAAAAUAGCCUCUGAUUAGUAAUCAAAAGAGAAAGGAAUACGAUGUGCACAAUCCGCGUCUGAUUU